rnacentral:rRNA from 2 species
UAGGGAAUCUUCGGCAAUGGACGAAAGUCUGACCGAGCAACGCCGCGUGAGUGAAGAAGGUUUUCGGAUCGUAAAACUCUGUUGUUAGAGAAGAACAAGGACGUUAGUAACUGAACGUCCCCUGACGGUAUCUAACCACAAAGCCACGGCUAACUACGUGCCAGCAGCCGCGGUAAUACGUAGGUGGCAAGCGUUGUCCGGAUUUAUUGGGCGUAAAGCGAGCGCAGGCGGUUUCUUAAGUCUGAUGUGAAAGCCCCCGGCUCAACCGGGGAGGGUCAUUGGAAACUGGGAGACUUGAGUGCAGAAGAGGAGAGUGGAAUUCCAUGUGUAGCGGUGAAAUGCGUAGAUAUAUGGAGGAACACCAGUGGCGAAGGCGGCUCUCUGGUCUGUAACUGACGCUGAGGCUCGAAAGCGUGGGGAGCAAACAGG